UGGUAUCUCCAAGCCCGGCUAGCUCAGUCGGUAGAGCAUGAGACUCUUAAUCUCAGGGUCGUGGGUUCGAGCCCCACGUUGGGCGCUGACCUUUUGAUUUGGAUACCAUUGAUCCUCAGAGGCUUGGGGCUCGUUUCCUGGACACAGAUUAUAGUCCUCCACUGAAAAGCACGACCUCUGAACAAUCUCAAAUGGACAUGUUUUUAGACUAGGACUUCAUGGGUGUCUGGGAAACCAGCCUUAGAGGUAUAGUGGUUAAUACACAUGCAACAUAGAUGACCAGUAUUGGUUGACUGUGUUGCUUCAUCACCCUAGGGAUAAGUACUAGGGUGAUGAAAUAGAGGACUGCUGAAAUCCAAGAGGCAGGGUUGGUUCACACCUUGAGAUCUGUCACUGAGCAGGGUUGGUACAGACCCUGUGAGGUCUGUCACUGAGCAGGGUUGGUUCAGACCCUGUGAGGUCUGUCAAUGGGCAGGGUUGGUUCAGACCCUGUGAGGUCUGUCACUGAGCAGGGUUGGUUCAGACCCUGUGAGGUCUGUCAAGGUGCAAGGUUUGUUCAGACCCAACGAUACCAUUGAUCCUCAGAGGCUUGGGGCUCGUUUCCUGGACACAGAUUAUAGUCCUCCACUGAAAAGCACGACCUCUGAACAAUAUCAAAUGGACAUGUUUUUAGACUAGGACUUCAUGGGUGUCUGGGAAACCAGCCUUAGAGGUAUAGUGGUUAAUACACAUGCAACAUAGAUGACCAGUAUUGGUUGACUGUGUUGCUUCAUCACCCUAGGGAUAAGUACUAGGGUGAUGAAAUAGAGGACUGCUGAAAUCCAAGAGGCAGGGUUGGUUCACACCUUGAGAUCUGUCACUGAGCAGGGUUGGUACAGACCCUGUGAGGUCUGUCACUGAGCAGGGUUGGUUCAGACCCUGUGAGGUCUGUCAAUGGGCAGGGUUGGUUCAGACCCUGUGAGGUCUGUCACUGAGCAGGGUUGGUUCAGACCCUGUGAGGUCUGUCAAGGUGCAAGGU
rnacentral:lncRNA from 13 species